rnacentral:rRNA from 1 species
UGGGGAAUUUUGGACAAUGGGGGCAACCCUGAUCCAGCCAUGCCGCGUGAGUGAAGAAGGCCUUCGGGUUGUAAAGCUCUUUCAGACGGAAAGAAAACGCAUCGGUGAAUACCCGGUGUGGAUGACGGUACCGUAAGAAGAAGCACCGGCUAACUACGUGCCAGCAGCCGCGGUAAUACGUAGGGUGCAAGCGUUAAUCGGAAUUACUGGGCGUAAAGCGUGCGCAGGCGGUUUUGUAAGACAGAGGUGAAAUCCCCGGGCUCAACCUGGGAACUGCCUUGGUGACUGCAAGGCUGGAGUACGGCAGAGGGGGAUGGAAUUCCGCGUGUAGCAGUGAAAUGCGUAGAUAUGCGGAGGAACACCGAUGGCGAAGGCAAUCCCCUGGGCCUGUACUGACGCUCAUGCACGAAAGCGUGGUGAGCAAACA